rnacentral:rRNA from 1 species
UACGGGGGGAGCAAGCGUUGUUCGGAUUUACUGGGCGUAAAGGGCGCGUAGGCGGCGCAACAAGUCACUUGUGAAAUCUCCGGGCUUAACCCGGAGCGGCCAAGUGAUACUGUCGUGCUAGAGUGCGGAAGGGGCUACUGGAAUUCUCGGUGUAGCGGUGAAAUGCGUAGAUAUCGAGAGGAACACCUGCGGCGAAGGCGGGUAGCUGGGCCGACACUGACGCUGAGGCGCGAAAGCGUGGGGAGCAAACGGG